GGGGUUGUGGCUCAGUGGUAAAGCGCUCACCUAGCAUGUGCGAGAUACUGGGUUAGAUCCUCAGCACCACA
rnacentral:tRNA from 1 species